rnacentral:rRNA from 1 species
AUUGAACGCUGGCGGCAGGCCUAACACAUGCAAGUCGAACGAGUGGCGGACGGGUGAGUAAUGUCUGGGAAACUGCCUGAUGGAGGGGGAUAACUACUGGAAACGGUAGCUAAUACCGCAUACCAUCAGAUGUGCCCAGAUGGGAUUAGAUUGUUGGUAGGGUAACGGCUAACCAAGGCGACGAUCCCUAGCUGGUCUGAGAGGAUGACCGGCCAAACUGGAACUGAGACACGGUCCAGACUCCUACGGCAGGCAGAAGUGGGGAAUAUUGCACAAUGGGCGCAAGCCUGAUGCGGCAAUGCCGCGUGGAUGAAGAAGGCCUUCGGGUUGUAAAGUACUUUCAGCGGGGAGGCGUUACCCGAAGAAGAAGCAACGGCUAACUCCGUGCCAGCAGCCGCGGUAAUAC